rnacentral:rRNA from 1 species
CCUACGGGUGGCAGCAGUGGGGAAUAUUGGACAAUGGGCGAAAGCCUGAUCCAGCCAUGCCGCGUGUGUGAAGAAGGCCUUCGGGUUGUAAAGCACUUUCAGUGGGGAAGAAAGCCUUGGGGCUAAUACCCUCGAGGAAGGACAUCACCCACAGAAGAAGCACCGGCUAACUCCGUGCCAGCAGCCGCGGUAAUACGGAGGGUGCGAGCGUUAAUCGGAAUUACUGGGCGUAAAGCGCGCGUAGGCGGUCUGAUAAGCCGGUUGUGAAAGCCCCGGGCUCAACCUGGGAACGGCAUCCGGAACUGUCAGGCUAGAGUGCAGGAGAGGAAGGUAGAAUUCCCGGUGUAGCGGUAAAAUGCGUAGAGAUCGGGAGGAAUACCAGUGGCGAAGGCGGCCUUCUGGACUGACACUGACGCUGAGGUGCGAAAGCGUGGGUAGCAAACAGGAUUAGAUACCCCAGUAGUC